rnacentral:rRNA from 1 species
AUUGAACGCUGGCGGCAGGCUUAACACAUGCAAGUCGAGCGGGGUGAUGGUGCUUGCACUAUCACUUAGCGGCGGACGGGUGAGUAAUGCUUAGGAAUCUGCCCAUUAGUGGGGGACAACAUCUCGAAAGGGAUGCUAAUACCGCAUACGUCCUACGGGGGAAAGCAGGGGAUCACUUGUGACCUUGCGCUAAUAGAUGAGCCUAAGUCGGAUUAGCUAGUUGGUGGGGUAAAGGCCUACCAAGGCGACGAUCUGUAGCGGGUCUGAGAGGAUGAUCCGCCACACUGGGACUGAGACACGGCCCAGACUCCUGCGGGAGGCAGCAGUGGGGAAUAUUGGACAAUGGGGGGAACCCUGAUCCAGCCAUGCCGCGUGUGUGAAGAAGGCCUUAUGGUUGUAAAGCACUUUAAGCGAGGAGGAGGCUCUUUUGGUUAAUACCCAGAAUGAGUGGACGUUACUCGCAGAAUAAGCACCGGCUAACUCUGUGCCAGCCGCCGCCGUAA